AAAGCUUCUCGGCCUUUUGGCUAAGAUCAAGUGUAGUGUAAAGAUGCUAAAGCAAAGAUUAUGGGAUAAUGCACAUAGUGACUUGCGAUCUCGAUCACACGUAGUCUGUAGUCUGCUGGCAGUAGGAGUACAAUAUGG